AUUGAACGCUGGCGGCAUGCUUUACACAUGCAAGUCGAGCGGCAACGAGGAGAAGCUUGCUUCUCUGUCGGCGAGUGGCGAACGGGUGAGUAUAGCAUCGGAACGUGCCAAGUAGUGGGGGAUAACCAAACGAAAGUUUGGCUAAUACCGCGUAAGCUCCAAGGAGGAAAGUAGGGGACCUAAAUAAGGCCUUACGCUAUUUGAUCGGCCGAUGUCGGAUUAGCUAGUUGGUGGGGUAAUGGCUCACCAAGGCAAUGAUCCGUAGCGGGUCUGAGAGGACGAUCCGCCACACUGGGACUGAGACACGGCCCAGACUCCUACGGGAGGCAGCAGUGGGGAAUUUUGGACAAUGGGGGAAACCCUGAUCCAGCCAUGCCGCGUGUAUGAAGAAGGCCUUAGGGUUGUAAAGUACUUUUGUUAGGGAAGAAAAGCUAGUUUUUAAUAAAAAUUAGUGAUGACGGUACCUAAAGAAUAAGCACCGGCUAACUACGUG
rnacentral:rRNA from 1 species